CCUACGGGAGGCAGCAGUGGGGAAUAUUGGACAAUGGGGGCAACCCUGAUCCAGCGAUGCCGCGUGUGUGAAGAAGGCCUUCGGGUUGUAAAGCACUUUAGUUGGGGAAGAAGUAGCGUGGAUGAAUAGUCCACGUUGUUGAGGGUACCUAAAGAAUAAGCACCGGCUAACUCUGUGCCAGCAGCCGCGGUAAU
rnacentral:rRNA from 1 species